AGGGUUUGAUUAUGGCUCAGGAUGAACGCUGGCUACAGGCUUAACACAUGCAAGUCGAGGGGUAACGACGGCGAAAGCUUGCUUUUGCUGGGCGACGACCGGCGCACGGGUGAGUAACGCGUAUCCAACCUGCCCAUAACUAAGGGAUAAUCCGUAGAAAUGCGGUCUAAUACCUUAUGUGAUCCGAGGAAGACAUCUGAUUUGGAUUAAAGAUUUAUCGGUUAUGGAUGGGGAUGCGUCUGAUUAGAUUGUUGGCGGGGCAACGGCCCACCAAGUCUGCGAUCAGUAGGGGUUCUGAGAGGAAGGUCCCCCACAUUGGAACUGAGACACGGUCCAA
rnacentral:rRNA from 1 species